AUUGCCCGCCGCGCGCGGCGGGCGGGGCGGGGGCACGGGGGGCCUACGGGAGGCAGCAGUCGGGAAUUUUGCGCAAUGGAGGAAACUCUGACGCAGUGACGCCGCGUGCAGGAAGAAGGUUUUCAGAUUGUAAACUGCUUUAGACAGGGAAGAAAAAGGACAGUACCUGUAGAAUAAGCUCCGGCUAACUACGUGCCAGCAGCCGCGGUAAUAAUCUCUAGAGGAUCCCC
rnacentral:rRNA from 1 species